rnacentral:lncRNA from 1 species
UUUGGCAGAGGAUUCAGAGGGGAAAGAAGAGAAGCGCUGAAGGAGAGAUGUCUGAGAUGCUGCUCCCUGCGUAAACGCCUCCUCAUCCUCCAGGAUUUUCCAACGCCGGCGCAAGCUCCUCCCUCGCGGGAGCCGAGUUGCUGUCCUAGCGCCAAACGCCCGCCCGAGCAGCGGCUGGGGGGCGGCGGGGAGUGGGCCCGCCCGCCUCCAUUGGUUGUGCGGACCGGAGGGGCGGAGGGAGGACGCGCGGUGCGGCCGGCUCAGCGGCCACAGGCUCACUCGGGCUGCGCCCGCUGCCCGCCCCUGCGCCCGGCAUUCCCGCGGACGGCUCCGCGGGCGCGCAUCGCCGAGACGCGGACGCCCUCGAGGAGCUCGGCGCGGUCCCCGUCCCACCCGAGCUCCAGAGCGCAGUCCGGGAGGUCGGCGCGUCCGGACUCGCAGGUCAGUCACGGAGGCAGAGGAGUGGGGAGCCGGGGGCGCGCGGGGUGCCGAGCGCUGGGAGUGGGCUCGCUCUCUGCGAGGGGCGCCUGACUCCUCGCCUGGGGCCGCCUCGAUCUCGGAGGCUCCGCUCCCUCGGGAGCCGCCUCCCAGACUCUCCCCGGCUCGCAGAGGUUUGGCUGCUUCCCUGGACACCCCCGAGUCUAUCCCCUUUGCGACCGGCCGCCCUCUUACGGCCCCCAGCAGCCUCCGCAUCCUGGCUCUCCCGAUUCUCGGGAAGACUUCGCGGGGCUAUGCAGUGUCCUUGGCCUCGGGAUGA